rnacentral:rRNA from 1 species
AAAAAAAUAAUCCAAUACGAUUGAAAAGAUCAAGUUACCAUAGGGAUAACAGCGUAAUAAUUUUCUAAAGAUCCUAUAAAAACAAUAGUUUGCGACCUCGAUGUUGAAUUAAUUACCUAAUUAGAGCAAAAACCAAUUAAGGAAGUCUGUUCGACUUUUAAACAAUUACAUGAUUUGAGUUCAGACCGGUAUAAGCCAGGUCGGUUUCUAUCUUCUACUAUUAACUUCUUACAGUACGAAAGGACCCAAGAAAAUAA